ACGGGUGAGUAAUGCCUAGGAAUCUGCCUGGUAGUGGGGGAUAACGCUCGGAAACGGACGCUAACACCGCAUACGUCCUACGGGAGAAAGCAGGGGACCUUCGGGCCUUGCGCUAUCAGAUGAGCCUAGGUCGGAUUAGCUAGUUGGUGGGGUAAUGGCUCACCAAGGCGACGAUCCGUAACUGGUCUGAGAGGAUGAUCAGUCACACUGGAACUGAGACACGGUCCAGACUCCUACGGGAGGCAGCAGUGGGGAAUAUUGGACAAUGGGCGAAAGCCUGAUCCAGCCAUGCCGCGUGUGUGAAGAAGGUCUUCGGAUUGUAAAGCACUUUAAGUUGGGAGGAAGGGCAUUAACCUAAUACGUUAGUGUUUUGACGUUACCGACAGAAUAAGCACCGGCUAACUCUGUGCCAGCAGCCGCGGUAAUACAGAGGGUGCAAGCGUUAAUCGGAAUUACUGGGCGUAAAGCGCGCGUAGGUGGUUCGUUAAGUUGGAUGUGAAAUCCCCGGGCUCAACCUGGGAACUGCAUUCAAAACUGUCGAGCUAGAGUAUGGUAGAGGGUGGUGGAAUUUCCUGUGUAGCGGUG
rnacentral:rRNA from 1 species